GACGAACGCUGGCGGCGUGCUUAACACAUGCAAGUCGAACGGAAAGGCCCUGCUUUUGUGGGGUGCUCGAGUGGCGAACGGGUGAGUAACACGUGAGUAACCUGCCCUUGACUUUGGGAUAACUUCAGGAAACUGGGGCUAAUACCGGAUAGGGGCUCCUGCUACAUGGUGGGGGUUGGAAAGUUUCGGCGGUUGGGGAUGGACUCGCGGCUUAUCAGCUUGUUGGUGGGGUAGUGGCUUACCAAGGCUUUGACGGGUAGCCGGCCUGAGAGGGUGACCGGCCACAUUGGGACUGAGAUACGGCCCAGACUCCUACGGGAGGCAGCAGUGGGGAAUAUUGCACAAUGGGCGGAAGCCUGAUGCAGCAACGCCGCGUGCGGGAUGACGGCCUUCGGGUUGUAAACCGCUUUCGCCUGUGACGAAGCGUGAGUGACGGUAAUGGGUAAAGAAGCACCGGCUAACUACGUG
rnacentral:rRNA from 1 species